GAUGAACGCUGGCGGCGUGCCUAAUACAUGCAAGUCGAGCGAACGGACGAGAAGCUUGCUUCUCUGAUGUUAGCGGCGGACGGGUGAGUAACACGUGGAUAACCUACCUAUAAGACUGGGAUAACUUCGGGAAACCGGAGCUAAUACCGGAUGAUAUUUUGAACCGCAUGGUUCAAAAGUGAAAGACGGUCUUGCUGUCACUUAUAGAUGGAUCCGCGCUGCAUUAGCUAGUUGGUAAGGUAACGGCUUACCAAGGCAACGAUGCAUAGCCGACCUGAGAGGGUGAUCGGCCACACUGGAACUGAGACACGGUCCAGACACCUACGGGAGGCAGCAGUAGGGAAUCUUCCGCAAUGGGCGAAAGCCUGACGGAGCAACGCCGCGUGAGUGAUGAAGGUCUUCGGAUCGUAAAACUCUGUUAUUAGGGAAGAACAUAUGUGUAAGUAACUGUGCACAUCUUGACGGUACCUAAUCAGAAAGCCACGGCUAACUACGUG
rnacentral:rRNA from 1 species